GUCAUUUCCUCCAAUCUUCCUCAGCAACAGGACAUGCCUUGGCGACAUAUAGUCGAGAGGCAAUUGAGUUGCUAGAUUUCUUGCUGUAACCCGGGCAAUGAGACAAGAGAGCAACACUCAGCAGUUCAGCUGGAAUCCUAAACACACUGCAAAGGGCUGAAAUCUGACCUGAAUAGAGAGCGAAAUGAUUUGGGAGGCACUUUAAGAUUUGCUGUCAUACUUGGGGAAAAUGAAUUAUGUUGACAUAUGGCUGAAAACAAUGGUGGAAAGGCAUUCAACAUAAGGCAAUGAAGAAUCAUGCAGUGUUGUGGAGGAGAGGAUCUGGAGCUGUUCCUUUGAGCCCUCUAUGACAGGUAUACAGAGCCACCUGACAGCACAGUAUUUCAGUGAUAAAUGCAGUGGGUCUGGGACUUCCAUUCACUAAAGUCAGGAGUGUGCUGGGCUGAUACUUCAAGGUCAAGUGAAUAUGAAAGAGCCGAACCACACAGCUUGCUAAAAAGAACAAUGCUUCCUAACUUCGACAACUUCUAAAUGUUAUGUUCAUGUGACGUGCUUAUAAACACAGAUGUUGUGUCACAGCAUCGUUUCGUGAUUUUUGAAUGUUUGUGAUUUAAAAAAAAAUCAUAAUCUGUCAGCCACACGUGCUAUAUUCAGUCUAGUUCCUCUACACACUGAUAAUAAAAAUGACAACGACUAUAUAAAUGAAGGUGAAACAUACGCACACACACACAUACGCACUCAGUCGCAGCCAAAACAAUUGAAUUACGGGGCUUGUGGCAUGUUGUCUCACUCUGUGAUAUGUGUGAAAUGGUUAAUUAAAGGUGAGCUCAUUAUUCUUGCUCAGGAUCCAGUAACUGUGUUAACAUGAUCCAUGACUAAUAUAUCACCCACUUAUUGCACCCGAAGAAUUUAAUCAAUUGCUCUGAACACCAAUUCAUACACAAGAGUUGAAGUAAAUAUGCCACUAUAAAUUCUACUGUUUGAUCUGUAUUGUUCAGGAGGAUUGAUGUGUAAAUCAAAAGCCAAUGGUUGUGUAUUAAAUAUGGUGCUUAUAUUAAACUAUUACAGAAGAA